rnacentral:rRNA from 1 species
UACAGAGGUCUCGAGCGUUAGGCGGAAUCACUGGGCUUAAAGCGUGUGUAGGUGGAUGCCUAAGUACCUUGUGAAAUCCCACAGCUUAACUGUGGAACUGCUUGGUAUACUGGGUGUCUUGAGUCACUCAGGGGCGAGCGGAACAAAUGGUGGAGCGGUGAAAUGCGUAGAUAUCAUUUGGAACGCCAAUGGUGAAAACAGCUCGCUGGGGGUGCACUGACACUGAGACCCGAAAGCCAGGGGAGCAAACGGG